rnacentral:rRNA from 1 species
UACGUAGGGUGCGAGCGUUGUCCGGAAUUAUUGGGCGUAAAGGGCUCGUAGGCGGUUUGUCGCGUCGGGAGUGAAAUCCACUGGCUUAACUGGUGGCUUGCUUUCGAUACGGGCAGACUGGAGGUAUGCAGGGGAGAACGGAAUUCCUGGUGUAGCGGUGAAAUGCGCAGAUAUCUUGAGGAACACCGGUGGCGAAGGCGGGUCUCUGGGCCGAUACUGACGCUGAGGAGCGAAAGCGUGGGGAGCGAACAGG